GAUGAACGCUGGCGGCGUGCCUAAUACAUGCAAGUCGAACGAAACUUCUUUAUCACCGAGUGCUUGCACUCACCGAUAAAGAGUUGAGUGGCGAACGGGUGAGUAACACGUGGGCAACCUGCCCAAAAGAGGGGGAUAACACUUGGAAACAGGUGCUAAUACCGCAUAACCAUAGUUACCGCAUGGUAACUAUGUAAAAGGUGGCUAUACUACCGCUUUUGGAUGGGCCCGCGGCGCAUUAGCUAGUUGGUAGGGUAAAGGCUUACGAAGGCAAUGAUGCGUAGCCGAAUUGAGAGGUUGAUCGGCCACAUUGGGACUGAGACACGGCCCAAACUCCUACGGGAGGCAGCAGUAGGGAAUCUUCCACAAUGGGCGAAAGCCUGAUGGAGCAACGCCGCGUGGGUGAAGAAGGUCUUCGGAUCGUAAAACCCUGUUGUUAGAGAAGAAAGUGCGUGAGAGUAACUGUUCACGUUUCGACGGUAUCUAACCAGAAAGCCACGGCUAACUACGU
rnacentral:rRNA from 1 species